ensembl:lncRNA
GUCAUGGACAGCAAGGAGGAGCAAGUCACAUCUCUUGAAUGGCAGCAGGCCAAGAGAGAGCCUGUGCAGAGAAACUCCCGCUUUCAAAACCAUCAGAUCUUGUGAGACCCAUUAAAUAUCAGGAGAACAGCAGGGGAAAAACAUGCCCCCAUGAUUCAAUCAUCUCUCACUGAAUUCCUCUCACAACACAUGGGAAUAUGGGAGCUACAAGAUGAGAUUUGUAUGGGGACACAGAGACAAAUCAUAUCAUCAGCCCGUGAUUCAUUUCUGCAUUUCAGGUGCUGAACCUGUGGAUAGACGGUCAACUAUACAGAGAUUUCCCAUGUACUCGCUGCCCCUAUGCAUGCAUCUCCAGCUGAAGUAAUACAUGUGUUACAAAAUCCUUCAUGCCUUCUGUUUCUGGGAUACACAUACCCAAUGCCACCUUACAUUUCCCCUACUCAAAGAAACUUUGGACAAGAGAAAAGGAAAAGACUAUUUUUAGAAAAAGAAAUUCUUGGCUACAAGGAGACCCUCUGCUCAAGCUACUGAUCUGUAUCUGCAUAAGAUAUAUAAAAGAUCAUUUGUAACUUCAAGUUACAAAGAAGAUUAGAAAACUGAGCAACUCCCAGGUUUUCUUUUCAUUUUUUUCUUCUUACAUACAGAUUAAAGGUAAAAUAAAAGCAUUAAAUCAAAAUGUGUCUGAGGUCUUCAUUUUGUGCUAUAGAUUUUGUUACGUGAUAGUUGUAUUUCCAUAUAAAAAGGUGUACUUACUGAAAUAAAAGAAGAAACCUAUAAUUAUGAGAGGAUGUCACUUAGAGUGUGGUUCCACAGCAAGGAAUAUUAGGAAAAAUAUUUCAAC